rnacentral:misc_RNA from 1 species
GUUUAUAUUAUAAUUAGAAUUAAAUAUAUAAAAAAUAAAUAAUACUUUUUAACUGCCAUUCAAACAGCAAUAACAAACAAUUUAGUGAUGUUAUUGCUGACUAACUUGAAAUUAAAAGAAAUUGAACCAAUAAAAGAUGAAUAUGUUGUACAAUUUCUUACAAUACGUGGAAUUAGGUUGAACUAAGAGUCUUGAUAGAUAUACAUGAUUGACUAUUUCUUAAAGAUUAAAACUUUGAAAUGAUCAAUUUACUUCAUAUAUA